UACAGAGGGGGCAAGCGUUGUUCGGAAUUACUGGGCGUAAAGGGCGCGUAGGCGGCCUUCUAAGUCGAACGUGAAAUCCCCGGGCUCAACCCGGGAACUGCGUCCGAUACUGGAAGGCUUGAAUCCGGGAGAGGGAUGUGGAAUUCCAGGUGUAGCGGUGAAAUGCGUAGAUAUCUGGAGGAACACCGGUGGCGAAGGCGCUCUCGU
rnacentral:rRNA from 1 species